rnacentral:lncRNA from 10 species
ACUCUCCAGAGUUCCGCCGCUUAGGCGGUUGUGCUAAUCUGCGUCAGCUGGGGCUGUAUUUGGAAGAAGAGGCGCUGCCUCCAGUCAAGUCUGUUUUUUUCAGAUGAAGACUUUACCGUACUACAUUAAGGGUCUGCAAGAGAAAACCCAGCCAAGGAUUCUCAGAACAACCCGAGCAACUUUCCUAUCCUGUCUCUCCUGAUGAAGGCUCCUGCUGCUUCUUAUGAGAGGAAGUUAUUGUCCCAAAGUUGUGUGUCAUGCCCGAAGUGUCUGGGAUCCCCGAGUGCCUGUGGUGCCCAAGAGCUAUGAAUCUGCUAUCAUCAACACAGAGGGUACCUUCUGAAUGGGCUAUGUCUACAGUGAUGCUGCAAAUGGAAGCUAACCCUAGGAUGACUGGCCUCUGACACUUGAGCCAUCCCAUCAUCUGUCAUGGGUUGACCCAUCCAUCCCCUCAAUGAGCCUGACCUUCAGGACCACUGACAGAGGAGCAGUCAAUAGAAAUUAAUUGUUAAAUACCCAGAAAAUCUGAAAUGGUAUUUAAUAUGCAGUUCAUCAAGAGCAAAAGUUCCUUAAAUCUUCAUCUAGAAAAGUUAUUUAUAAGGGAUGAAUAUGUUGUAUGAAUAUGUUGUAUGCAAAUAUUAUAUUCAAGGGCAAGACCAUGAAAACAGUUUAAGAAUCCGACAGGGAAUUAGAUAAAGACAUCGGAGUGCACUUGUCAAAAUACAGCUAUCAAGAAUGAUGAUGUUGAAAAAUAGUUUAGCAAUAUAAUUGUCUAGAACCACAGGGAGUCUGAGAUUUUACCCAACUUGUGAGUUAACAACUCUGCUAUAGCUUCAUGAAAGAAGACACAAGACUCCUGGGUCAGGAACAAAGGUCUCUAAUACUCACAGCAAUAUCAGGAGCCAGAAUUUCAGGAUCCUUUUUCCUGCCAGUUUCUCAAGUCCUAAUUACCACCGAGUUACAGGAAAGGGCCAGGUAACACUAGCACUGCCAUCAGUGGCUGUAUUACAGAACAGGAACUCCAAGCUUAGGAAACCCAAAUCUUUUAUAGUUAACAAUGAACACAUCUGCCAUUGUUCUGAAGGGAGACGCUACCCCAAUCUUCCACACCUGUUCACUAUAUAAAUAUCUGUGAAAAGAUAGACAGAAAAAUAGGUGGAGAAUGCCUCUGCUCACAAGAUGUGCAGAAACGUGAGAGGCUCAUGGAGAACUGUUUCCCUACAAUGACAAAAUGCUGACGAUAUAUUGUUAUGUAAAAUAAAGCAGGCAUUUUUCACCUCAUUUUCAUGAAAUAUAGUGUGUUUAUAUAGAUAUUUAGAAAAGUAUGAAAGGACAUUCAUCCAGAUAUCAAUAGAAGAGUUUAUUAUUUUUGCUAGUUGUAAGUUCAAACUUUUCUAGUAAAAAUAGAUUACUUGUGAAAUUAUUUUUAAUCUUUUUUUUUUUUUGAGAUGGAGUCUUGCUCUGUCGCCCAGGCUCGAGUGCAGUGGCAUGAUCUCAGCUCACUGCAACAUCCACCUCCUGGGUUCAAGCAAUUCUCCUGCCUCAGCCUCCUGAGUAGCUGGGAUUAUAGGUGCAUGCCACCAUGCCCAGCUAAUUUUUGUAUUUUUAGUAGAGACGGGAUUUCACCAUGUUGGUCAGGCUGGUCUCGAACUCCUGACCUCGUGAUCUGCCCACCUCGGCCUCCCAAAGUGCUAGAAUUACAGGUGUGAGCCACUGCACCCCUCCUAAAUGUCAAUUUAAUAACUGAGGGAGCCCUUAAAAUACCCCGCUGACUUCCACACGGGUGUGUAAAAUAGAAUCUGCUCACGUCUUAGAGGAGAUAAGUACAUGCUUAAUGUUCUUAGGAGAGACCUGCCUUUUGACAUGGAAGCUGUGGUAUUGUUGACAAGAGCAUACCUCCUUAAACCAUGCAAACCACGUUCACAUCAAAGCUGCCUACGAAUGAUUAUUUUCCAUGAUGCUAUGCUCCCUCCUGCCUGCCUCAGUGGCAAGUGUGACUCAGCAAGUGUAUCCAGGGCAUCCCUCACUCUUACUUAUUUUUGCCAAAUGCAGUGGAAAUGUAUAGACUUUUUUUCAUAUUUAUGUUGGCUGCAGAGCAUAAAUCUGAAUAGGUUCUCCAAAGUAAGCUUUUUCUGCAUGCAUUUGCUCCCAAUGAUGAUAGGUAUUAUGAAUUGCUUUAUAGUAAUCAUUAUCCUUUUCCAUAUGUUUUACGGUUAGUCUGUGCUAUAAACUUGUUUGAUUU